UAGGGUGAACGAGUGAGAAAACCUGCUUC
rnacentral:piRNA from 1 species